rnacentral:rRNA from 1 species
CAAUAGCGUAUAUUAACGUUGUUGCAGUUAAAAAGCUCGUAGUUGGAUUUCUGGAGGGAGCGUCGGCCCGUAUUUACGAGUGCGUGACGUCUCUGUCCAUCCUUGCGGGAUGGCACGGCAUUGAUUUGUUGUGUCGGAUCGCAUCAUUUACUGUGAAAAAAUUAGAGUGUUCAAAGCAGGCUUUCGCUUGAAUACAUUAGCAUGGAAUAAUAAGAUAGGACUUUGGUGCUAUUUUGUUGGUUGAGCCUAAAGUAAUGAUUAAUAGGGAUAGUUGGGGGCACCUGUAUUGCGUUGUCAGAGGUGAAAUUCUUGGAUUUACGCAAGACAAACAGCUGCGAAAGCGUCUGCCAAGGAUGUUUUCAUUAA